CUGACAUCCCUGAGUGUAUGUGGUGAACCUGAAUUUGCCUUGGGUUUCCUCAUAUUCAUUCAGGAGUGUCAG
ensembl:miRNA MIR670 microRNA mir-670